CUCAUUAAUUUUGCAAUUUAAAAAACUCCCUUGCAAAUCCCUUGAGGAAAUUUGCAAUGUUGCUAAAAGCCAAUUAAAUUUUCCUCAGUUCCUGUUAGAAGUUCUUAACUUCCUGUUACAAGUUCCUAACUUCCUGUUCUGUUCUGGGCGUUGCAAUUGGCUAACAAAAAUAAUCAACCAAUAACAACGCUCAGAACAGAACAGGAAGUUAGGAAAUUAAAACAGGAAGUUAGGAAAAUUUAAAAUGAAGUUUGUUGCAUUGGAAUAUUGCAACAGCCGAUAGGAAUAUUGCAAAUUCCCUCAAGGGAUUUGCAAAGAGUUUUUCAAAUUUGCAAAGCUAAUGAGG